AGUGAACGCUGGCGGUAGGCCUAACACAUGCAAGUCGAACGGCAGCACAGUAAGAGCUUGCUCUUACGGGUGGCGAGUGGCGGACGGGUGAGGAAUACAUCGGAAUCUACUUUUUCGUGGGGGAUAACGUAGGGAAACUUACGCUAAUACCGCAUACGACCUACGGGUGAAAGCAGGGGAUCUUCGGACCUUGCGCGAUUGAAUGAGCCGAUGUCGGAUUAGCUAGUUGGCGGGGUAAAGGCCCACCAAGGCGACGAUCCGUAGCUGGUCUGAGAGGAUGGUCAGCCCCACUGGAACUGAGCCGCGGUCCAGACUCCUACGGGAGGCAGCAGUGGGGAAUAUUGGACCAUGGGCGCAAGCCUGAUCCAGCCAUACCGCGUGGGUCAAGAAGGCCUUCGGGUUGUAAAGCCCUUUUGUUGGGAAAGAAAAGCAGCAGGUUAAUACCCCGCUGUUCUGACGGUACCCAAAGAAUAAGCACCGGCUAACUUCGUG
rnacentral:rRNA from 1 species